GUCCACGCCCUAACGAUGUCGACUGGUUGUUGGGGUUUGACACUCUCAGUAACGAAGCUAACGCGUGAAGUCGACCGCCUGGGGAGUACGGCCGCAAGGUUAAACUCAAAGGAAUUGACGGGACCCGCACAAGCGGUGGAUUAUGUGGAUUAAUUCGAUGCAACGCGAAACCUUACCUACCCUUGACAUGUCCGAGAGCCCGUAGAGAUAUGGGUGUGCCCGAAAGGGAAUCGGAACACAGGUGCUGCAUGGCUGUCGU
rnacentral:rRNA from 1 species